AAUACAUGCCCAAAUGGAUUUCUAAGAUUUCCAUAUUUCCUGCAGCCCUUUACCAUGUUCAAAAAACAAACUCUCUCCCUUAAUUACUCCACACAAUUUGUAUAAAAAAGUACAUGCCUGUGUAUGUGUUUAUGUCAUACCUAUUUUCAGUACAGAAAUGUUACCAAAAGUACUGUCACUUCUAAAACAAAAACAAAACAAAUAUAGAAAACAAGGUCCACCGCUCUCUAAAAUCACCACUUACUAAUCCUAUCUCUCAUGCUUCUCUGGGGGUUCAACGCUUUAAUCUCCUACCUCCUGUCAACUGGACUACAUCCUACCAGAAAUAGACACUGGCACCUUCCACGGACAUCCCCUGCAACCCUCACCUCCCCCACGGUUACCAAAACUAUGCCAAGGAUCUAAUCCCCAAUUUCUCUCAAACUCCUUAGAAAGGCCACUCCCGAAAGCACUCUCCUGGAAUAUCUGAGGCCUGAGUCCUGCUUGCAGUAGCCCCAGUUUCUCAGUUUGGGAACCGUCCCCGUUGCCCCAUCCUCCGGUGAGGACACACAGACACACACACACACACACACACACACACACAUACACACGCAUCACUCUUCCUGUAGGGGCGUGGCGGACACAGGACACCCCACCACCACCAGCAAGAACUUAACUCCUCCCACCCUUCCCUUGCGAACCCCACGCUCAGCGCUCAGCGUUCUCACGGUACAGUGACACUGAGAUCCUCCCUGUACUCAGAACCUCCCUUCUGCCGCGCCUAGGACUCAGUUCCACACGGCAAGGGUUCCUCACCUGGACCCCGCCCAUCCGAUCCCGGCUGGGAGCCUCGGCCUUCCCGGCUCCAGAUCCAGGCCGGGGCCGGGUCCCAGCCGCACGCAGGCCCCACCCCCUCGACCCCCUGCGGCCCGGCCCUCCCCUCGCGCUCCUUUCCCCCCUCCCACCAGGCACCGCAGCCACUUCCGCCCGUCCUCCGGAAGUAGGUCCCGGGUUACCGCUGGCUCCCCACAUUCCACCCCUUCGCCUGGUCCUCGCCCGCCCAUCACCACCGCCGCCACGGGAGCACGGGAGGUCCUGACAUCACCUGGGACUGGAUCCUGGUAUCCUGUGACUUUACAAGAUGUUGCCGAAGAGAAAUAGGUGAAAGGUCCACAGGAUCUCUCAUCUCGUGUGAAAUGUAGUCUCACAUCUACCUGUAUGUGAAUCUAUAUAAGCUUAAGUGAAAACAAAAGCUUAAGUCCUUGGUUCCAUGCUUAUGGCCUAGAAUUAAGCCAUAAGACUAAAAAAUAAAAGAUAAAAAAUGUCAUUAGUGAUAACUUAG
rnacentral:lncRNA from 1 species